CCUACGGGCGGCAGCAGUGAGGAAUAGUGGUCAAUGGGCGCGAGCCUGAACCAGCCAAGUAGCGUGAAGGAUGACUGCCCUACGGGUUGUAAACUUCUUUUAUAAAGGAAUAAAGUGAGGCACGUGUGCCUUUUUGUAUGUACUUUAUGAAUAAGGAUCGGCUAACUCCGUGCCAGCAGCCGCGGUAAUACGGAGGAUCCGAGCGUUAUCCGGAUUUAGUGGGUUUACAGGGAGCGUAGAUGGGUUGUUAAGGCAGUUGUGAAAGUUUGCGGCUCAACCGUAAAAUUGCCAUUGAUACUGGCAGUCUUGCUUACAGUUGCGGUAGGCUGCAUUCGUGGUGUCGCGG
rnacentral:rRNA from 1 species